CAAUUUAUGUGCAUAAUUGCAUAUACCUGUGGUCUCAUGCAAUUAAAAAUUAAAUCCUACACUCUGUGGAAUAUUGCUAGGUAGUGCAAAUUAUUCAAGGACUCAGCUUUGGGACAGUUAAUCCGCACAGUUGCGGUUGUCCAGAGUCCCAUCCAUUUUAGUGGGCCACUGUGUCCCAUUUGGGUGCUAGGUGUGUCAGGAGGACCCUUCUGUUGAAUUGAUAAUGUGCAUAAUUGCAUUUGUUCAUGUCCUGUGAACUAGUAACAUCCACCUGCUUUGUAUUCCAGCAGGGGACCCUUUUUAACUUAAGAGCGCUGCACUGGGACACUCUGCCUAUGCAAACCUAAUUGAUUAGACCUGAGCCUUUUGUAUUAGGAACCCUGCAUUAUCUUUACACCUAAAAGGUGCUAAUUGCCUAAGGCCAUUUCCUGCCCUAACGACUGUGUUUAAACUAGAGUCUCACACUCAAUAACCGCCUUUGCAUAAGAGUAGAGGAUACUUGUGACAGUUAAGUGGUUUGAUUGCAGCUACAGACCCUGCUGUUAGACUAGCAUCCAUUCCCCUCCUAGAUGAUUCACAUGACCACAAUCCGUACUAGGGACUGUUAAUGGGUUUAAAUGCAGCUACAGUCCUUUAUGUUAAUCUAGGAUCCCAUCCCCAACUCACUCUCUUUUCAUUACUGCAGGGCUUACAUAGGACUUGUUAACGACCUUUAUUGCCCUACUGUCGCUUCUGUUAGUCCAAGAUCCCAUAUCCUCCUAAAUCCUGUAUUACCGAAAGAAUAUAAGGGACUGUUAAAGUGCUUAAAGCAGUUACAGUCCCUUAUGUUUAUCUAGGACCCAUCCUCAACUAACUCCUUUUGCAUGACUGCAGAGGGUUCUUGGGACUGUUAAUGGGCUUUAUUGCAGCUACAGUCCCUUCUAUUAAUCUGGAUUCCUGUCCACUCCUACACAAUUUGCAUUACCACAGACUAUACAAGGGACUGUUAAUGUGUUUAAAUGGAGCUACAGUUCCUUAUGUUAAACUAGGAUCCCAUUUCCACCUAACUCCCUUUUCAUUAAUGCAGAGCCUACAUGGGACUAGUGGGCUUAUUUGCACUACUGUCCCUUCUUUUAUUCUAGGAUCCCAUCCCCACCUAAAUCCCUUUACAUUAUCACAGGGGAUAGAUACAAGGGACUGUUGUGCUUAAAUGUAGGUACAGCCCCCCCCUUUAACCCUAAGAUAUCUUUCCCACAUAAAUGCCUUUGCAUGACUGCAGAGGAUACUUGGGACUGUUAAUGGGCUUUAUUGUAGCCACAGUCUCUUUUCAUAGUCUGGGAUCCCAUCCCCUCUUAAAUGACUUACAUUACCGCAGAGGGCGCAAGGGACUGCAAAGGUGCUUAAAUGCAGGUAGUUGGUUUUUAAACCUAGGAUCCCAUUCCCAGCCUGACUUGCUUUGAAUUACUAUAGAGGCUACAAGGGACUCUUACGUGUUUAAGUGCAGGUACAGUGCCUUUUGUUAACCUCGAAAUCCAUUCUCACCUAACUCCCUUUUCCUGACUGCAAAGGGUAAUUGGGACUGUUAACGGGCUGUACUGCAGCCACAUUCCUCUUGUAGUCUAGGAUCCCAUUCCCUCCUAUUUGAUUUGCAUUACCCCAGAGGGUACAAGGGACUUUUAAAGUGCUUAAGUGGCACUAUAGUCCCUUAUGUUAUCUAGGACCCCAUUCCCAUCUAACUUUUCAUGACUGCAGAGUGUACUUGGGACUGUAAAUGUACUUAACUGCCUAUACAGUCUCACCCCUUAGUCCAAAUUACAUGCCCUCCUACUUGAAUUGUAUUAUAACAGAGGGUACAAGGGACUUUUAAUGUGCUUUUUUAAAAGCAGCUAAAUUUCCUUACCAUAACCUCAAAAUCCAUUUCCAUCUCAAAAUCCACUCCCACCUAACUCCCUUUCCAUCACAGCAGAGGGUACUUGGGACUGUUAAUAGGCUUAAUUAAAGCUAUUCUCCCUUCUGUUGGUCUAGAUUUCCUUUCCUGCCUCUAUUUGGAUUGUACCACAGUGUACAAUGGACUGUUAACUGUGCUUAAAUGCGGGUACAGUCCUUUUUUAAAACCUAGGAUCCUAUUCCCACCUAACUCCCUUUGCUUUACUGCAGAGGGUACUUGGGGCUUGUUAAUAGGCUUAGUUGGACUACAGUCCUUUGUUAGU
ensembl:lncRNA